CACACAACAGUCGUGUGCAAGAGACGGUUAUUCAGUAUCUGGAGGUCAGCAGAGAAUUCAGGAAGGACGAUAACUUGCUGGUCCAAUACUCAGGUAGGAAUAAUGGGAAGAAACUUACUAAGUCCUCCUUAGCCAGGUGG